rnacentral:rRNA from 1 species
AUGAACGCAGGCGGCGUGCCUAAUACAUGCAAGUCGAGCGAACAGACGAGGAGCUUGCUCCUCUGACGUUAGCGGCGGACGGGUGAGUAACACGUGGAUAACCUACCUAUAAGACUGGGAUAACUUCGGGAAACCGGAGCUAAUACCGGAUAAUAUAUUGAACCGCAUGGUUCAAUAGUGAAAGACGGUUUUGCUGUCACUUAUAGAUGGAUCCGCGCCGCAUUAGCUAGUUGGUAAGGUAACGGCUUACCAAGGCAACGAUGCGUAGCCGACCUGAGAGGGUGAUCGGCCACACUGGAACUGAGACACGGUCCAGACUCCUACGGGAGGCAGCAGUAGGGAAUCUUCCGCAAUGGGCGAAAGCUUGACGGAGCAACGCCGCGUGAGUGAUGAAGGUCUUCGGAUCGUAAAACUCUGUUAUUAGGGAAGAACAAAUGUGUAAGUAACUAUGCACGUCUUGACGGUACCUAAUCAGAAAGCCACGGCUAACUACGUG